rnacentral:rRNA from 1 species
UGGGGAAUUUUGGACAAUGGGCGAAAGCCUGAUCCAGCAAUGCCGCGUGAGUGAAGAAGGCCUUCGGGUUGUAAAGCUCUUUUGUCAGGGAAGAAACGGUGAAAGCUAAUAUCUUUUGCUAAUGACGGUACCUGAAGAAUAAGCACCGGCUAACUACGUGCCAGCAGCCGCGGUAAUACGUAGGGUGCAAGCGUUAAUCGGAAUUACUGGGCGUAAAGCGUGCGCAGGCGGUUUUGUAAGUCUGAUGUGAAAUCCCCGGGCUCAACCUGGGAAUUGCAUUGGAGACUGCAAGGCUAGAAUCUGGCAGAGGGGGGUAGAAUUCCACGUGUAGCAGUGAAAUGCGUAGAUAUGUGGAGGAACACCGAUGGCGAAGGCAGCCCCCUGGGUCAAGAUUGACGCUCAUGCACGAAAGCGUGGGGAGCAAACAGGAUUAGAUACCCAAGUAGUCCCUGAGCGGGCUGGCAAGGCGCAU